rnacentral:rRNA from 1 species
UACGGGGGGGGCAAGCGUUGUUCGGAAUUACUGGGCGUAAAGGGCUCGUAGGCGGUCGGGUAAGUCUGACGUGAAAUCUUCAAGCUUAACUUGGAAACUGCGUCGGAUACUAUUCGGCUGGAGGAAUGGAGGGGAGACUGGAAUACUUGGUGUAGCAGUGAAAUGCGUAGAUAUCAAGUGGAACACCAGUGGCGAAGGCGAGUCUCUGGACAUUUCCUGACGCUGAGGCACGAAAGCCAGGGGAGCAAACGGG